rnacentral:rRNA from 1 species
AUUGAACGCUGGCGGCAGGCCUAACACAUGCAAGUCGAACGAGUGGCGGACGGGUGAGUAAUGCCUGGGAAACUGCCUGAUCGAGGGGGAUAACUACUGGAAACGGUCGCUAAUACCGCCUACCCUCAAUUUUGGCCAGCUGGGAUUAGCUUGUUGGUGGGGUAACGGCUCACCAAGGCGACAAUCCCUAGCCGGUCUGAGAGGAUGACCAGCCACACUGGAACUGAGACACGGUCCAGAUUCCUACGGGAGGCAGCAGUGGGGAAUAUUGCACAAUGGGCGCAAGCCUGAUGCAGCCAUGCCGCGGGUAUGAAGAAGGCCUUCGGGUUGUAAAGUACUUUCAGCGGGGAGGCGUUACCCGAAGAAGAAGCACCGGCUAACUCCGUGCCAGCAGCCGCGGUAAUAC